rnacentral:misc_RNA from 1 species
GGUGGGGCUAAUGACUGGGGUGAAGUCGUAACAAGGUAGCCGUACCGGAAGGUGCGGCUGGAUCACCUCCUAACAGGGAGACAACAAAAUGUUAAAUAUUAAUUUUGUCACCUUAGGUCGAUCGGUAUCUCACAUCCUUAAUUAAUUUAAGGAUUUUAUUUCCUAAGUUUUUUCUAGGUCACACCCAUUACUUUUUCCUGGGCCAUUAGCUCAGGUGGUUAGAGCGCACCCCUGAUAAGGGUGAGGUCCCUGGUUCAAGUCCAGGAUGGCCCAUAUCUCUAUGUUGGGGGUAUAGCUCAGUUGGUAGAGCGCCUGCUUUGCAAGCAGGAUGUCAGCGGUUCGAGUCCGCUUACCUCCACUGAUCACCACCUCUUCCAUAAUUUUAUAGAAGGGAAAUGUUUUGAGUUGUGAUCAAAUUCUGAACGAAUCUAGCUUCCUAAUAAAACUUAUUAAGAUGCUGGACUCAUUGAAUUAAUUUCAUUGUUUUCAGAGAACCUUGACAACUGCAUAGAUUAUUUUUAAAGACAAUAAGCAUCUUUAAUGAUGCAGAUUUAUUAUUUGUGCGAAUGCAUUAAUAACAAUUCUAUUAAGCUGAUGCUUCAAUUUUUGAAGUUAUUGGUCAAGCUACAAAGGGCUCACGGAGG